rnacentral:lncRNA from 1 species
CCAAACUAUUAUGUUUGUUGAUCCCUUUUUGAUUCCUAACUAAUUAUUCUCUUCCCCUUAUAAUUCACAUCUUUAGAUGAAUCACCCUUUGGAGAAGGCAAGUUAAUACAAACAUGAGUUGGAUUCAUCUGAAGAUUGCCACUUGACAUAUCACCUUGCACAUGCUCUAAAAUGUGAUGGAGUUGCAUGACAUGUUAAGAAUGGGAGGUAGGAGUUUUAUCCUUGUC